rnacentral:misc_RNA from 1 species
AAAACCAUCAAUUUGUAAUUUGUUUAUGUGGGAGAAAGAAGGUUGAAUGGGAGACCUUCCAAUAAUUAACAUAGUAUCUGAAGCACAAUAAUGUUGUAAGAACAACAAUAGUAUUGAAUUAAGAGAGUUCAUCUAUCACCAGUUUCGACAAAGAGGGCAGCUUGGACAUUCAGGUUACCAUGAACACAUAAUCAAGAGAGAGAAGAAAAAAUAACUGGAACAAAACAUUACUGUAUUGGCUUCACUAAUUUUAUAACAUCUUAUUUUAGAGUAAAACCUGAUCAGUUUCUUAGUUUCAUAUUUUCAAAAUCUGCAAAGCUAAACAUAACAAUUAGAUAGACCUAUAAAUUUUUAC